CAAUAGCGUAUAUUAAUGUUGUUGCAGUUAAAAGCUCGUAGUUGAAUUUCUGGUUAAUAUAUUAGCUGGCUUUGGUCGUUAAUGUCUUAAUCAUCCGUUAGAGAACUAUAACCGUCCUUAACUGGUCAUUAUAGAGAUCUAACAUUUUACUUUGAAAAAUUAGAGUGUUCAAGGCAGGCAAUCGUCAUGAAUACUAUAGCAUGGAAUAAUGGAAUAGGACUUUGGUUCAUUUUAUUGGUUAUUGAACCUUAGUAAUGAUUAACAGGGACAGUUGGGGGCAUUAGUAUUUAAUUGUCAGAGGUGAAAUUCUUGGAUUUAUUAAAGACUAACUUAUGCGAAAGCAUUUGCCAAGGAUGUUUUCAUUAAUCAAGAACGAAAGUUAGGGGAUCAAAGACGAUCAGAUACCAU
rnacentral:rRNA from 1 species